rnacentral:tRNA from 1 species
GCUCCCAUAGCUCAGUUGGUAGAGCGCUUCCAUGGUAAGGAAGAGGUCAUCAGUUCGAGUCUGAUUGGGAGCU